UUUUAAACCUGGCAGGGGAGACACCAUGAUCAGGAAGGUGGUUUUCCCAGGGCGAGGCUUAUCCAUUGCACUUGGGAUGUGCUGACCUCCGCGAUUUCCUCAAAUGCAGGAAACUCGACUGCAUAAUUUAUGGCAAUGGGGGCUGCGUUCAUGCUCUCCCCUG
ensembl:snRNA U1 U1 spliceosomal RNA